UACAUGGGGUGCAAACGUUGCUCGGAAUUAUUGGGCGUAAAGCGCACGUAGGCGGUUUGUUAAGUCGGAUGUGAAAUCCCUCGGCUCAACUGAGGAAGUGCGUCCGAAACUGGCAAGCUUGAGUACGAAAGAGGAUCGCGGAAUUCCCGGUGUAGAGGUGAAAUUCGUAGAUAUCGGGAGGAACACCGGUGGCGAAGGCGGCGAUCUGGGUCGAUACUGACGCUGAGGUGCGAAAGCGUGGGGAGCAAACAGG
rnacentral:rRNA from 1 species